rnacentral:rRNA from 1 species
UACGUAGGGGACGAGCGUUGUCCGGAAUUACUGGGCGUAAAGGGCGUGUAGGCGGAUACUUAAGUCAGGUGUGAAAUCUUUGGGCUUAACCCAGAGUUUGCAUUUGAAACUGGAUAUCUUGAGUGCAGGAGAGGAUAGUGGAAUUCCUAGUGUAGCGGUGAAAUGCGUAGAUAUUAGGAGGAACACCAGUGGCGAAGGCGACUGUCUGGACUGUAACUGACGCUGAGGCGCGAAAGCGUGGGGAGCAAACAGGAUUAGAUACCCCGGUAGUCCCU